UACGGAGGGUGCGAGCGUUGUCCGGAAUCACUGGGCGUAAAGGGCGCGUAGGCGGCAGGCCAAGCGCGCGGUGAAAGUCCGGGGCUCAACCCCGGAUCGGCCGUGCGGACUGGUUUGCUAGAGCACUGUAGAGGCGAGUGGAAUUCCGGGUGUAGCGGUGGAAUGCGUAGAGAUGUGGAGGAACACCAGUGGCGAAGGCGACUCUCUGGGCUGUAACUGACGCUGAGGCGCGAAAGCGUGGGGAGCAAACAGG
rnacentral:rRNA from 1 species